UCACGAUCAGCUUGGACGUCAAUAUUGGU
rnacentral:sRNA from 1 species